GUGCCAGCCGCCGCGGUAAUACGGAGGGGGCUAGCGUUGUUCGGAAUUACUGGGCGUAAAGCGCACGUAGGCGGAUUGUUAAGUCGAGGGUGAAAUCCCAGGGCUCAACCCUGGAACUGCCUUCGAUACUGGCAAUCUAGAGAUCGAGAGAGGCGAGUGGAAUUCCGAGUGUAGAGGUGAAAUUCGUAGAUAUUCGGAGGAACACCAGUGGCGAAGGCGGCUCGCUGGCUCGAUACUGACGCUGAGGUGCGAAAGCGUGGGGAGCAAACAGGAUUAGAUACCCGGUAGUCC
rnacentral:rRNA from 1 species